GAGUUUGAUCCUGGCUCAGGACGAACGCUGGCGGCGUGCCUAAUACAUGCAAGUCGAGCGGCCCUUCGCAAGGAGGGCAGCGGCGGACGGGUGAGGAACACGUGAGUAACCGACCGGCGGGUGGGGGAUAUCGGGCCGAAAGGCGCGGCAAUCCCGCAUACGGCCCCGGGGGGCAGGGCCCCGGGGGGAAAGUCUCGGCGACGAGACGCCCGCUGCCGGGCUCGCGGCCCAUUAGCUGGUUGGGGGGGUAACGGCCUCCCAAGGCGACGAUGGGUAGCCGGCCUGAGAGGGUGACCGGCCACACUGGGACUGAGACACGGCCCAGACUCCUACGGGAGGCAGCAGUAGGGAAUCUUCCACAAUGGGCGCAAGCCUGAUGGAGCAACGCCGCGUGAGUGAAGACGGCCUUCGGGUUGUAAAGCUCUGUUGGGCGGGACGAGGGCCCCGCGGACGCGGGGCGGGACGGUACCGCCGGAGGAAGCCCCUGCAAACUACGUGCCAGCAGCCGCGGUAAUAC
rnacentral:rRNA from 1 species